UACGUAGGGUGCAAGCGUUGUCCGGAAUUAUUGGGCGUAAAGAGCUCGUAGGCGGUCUGUCGCGUCUGCUGUGAAAACUCAGGGCUUAACCCUGAGCUUGCAGUGGGUACGGGCAGACUAGAGUGCGGUAGGGGAGACUGGAAUUCCUGGUGUAGCGGUGAAAUGCGCAGAUAUCAGGAAGAACACCCGUGGCGAAGGCGGUUCUCUGGGACGGUACUGACGCUGAGACGCGAAAGCGUGGGGAGCAAACAGG
rnacentral:rRNA from 1 species